ACAGCAGCCGCCGCGGUAAUACAGAGGGUGCGAGCGUUAAUCGGAUUUACUGGGCGUAAAGCGUGCGUAGGCGGCUAAUUGAGUCGGAUGUGAAAUCCCCGAGCUUAACUUGGGAAUUGCAUUCGAUACUGGUUAGCUAGAGUGUGGGAGAGGAUGGUAGAAUUCCAGGUGUAGCGGUGAAAUGCGUAGAGAUCUGGAGGAAUACCGAUGGCGAAGGCAGCCAUCUGGCCUAACACUGACGCUGAGGUACGAAAGCAUGGGGAGCAAACAGGAUUAGAUACCCGAGUAGUCCCUGUCUCUUAACA
rnacentral:rRNA from 1 species